CCUACGGGCGGCAGCAGUGGGGGAUAUUGCACAAUGGGGGGAACCCUGAUGCAGCGACGCCGCGUGGGUGAAGAAGCGCCUCGGCGCGUAAAGCCCUGUCAGCAGGGAAGAAAAUGACGGUACCUGAAGAAGAAGCCCCGUCUAACUACGUGCCAGCAGCCGCGGUAAUACGUAGGGGGCCGGCGUUACCCGGAUUUACUGGGUGUAAGGGGGGCGCAGACGGCGUUGCAAGCCAGGAGUGAAAGCCCGGGGCCCAACCCCGGGACUGCACUUGGAACUGCGUGGCUGGAGUGCAGGAGGGGCAGGCGGAAUUCGUGGUGUAGCGGUGAAAUGCGUAGAUAUCAGGAGGAACACCGGUGGCGAAGGCAGCCUGCUGGACUGCAACUGACGUUGAGGCCCGAAAGCGUGGGGAGCAAACAGGAUUAGAUACCCCUGUAGUC
rnacentral:rRNA from 1 species